rnacentral:misc_RNA from 1 species
GUUUGUUGGUAAUGAUAGGGGCUAUAGACAUCCCAGUAGGAGCAAUGUUACUCCAUCAGGGCAGUCCUCUAAGUUUGAGGAAAGUCAAAAUGCAAAAGAAUUAGGUAAGUCUACUGCUUUUGGCAUCCCUAAAAAAGCAUACAAGCGAAGAUACAGGCCCCGGCCAAAUCGUGACAGUGCUAGAUCAAGUUCAUCUGAUAUAG